rnacentral:rRNA from 1 species
UGGCUGUCGUCAGCUCGUGUCGUGAGAUGUUAGGUUAAGUCCCGCAACGAGCGCAACCCCUCGCAUCCAGUUGCCAUCGGGCGAGCCGGGCGACUCUGGAGGGACUGCCGGCGACAAGCCGGAGGAAGGUGGGGAUGACGUCAAGUCAUCAUGGCCCUUAUGUCCAGGGCGACACACGUGCUACAAUGGCCGGCACAGCGGGAAGCGGAGGGGCGACCCUGAGCGGAUCCCUUGACAGCCGGUCCCAGUUCGGAUUGCAGUCUGCAACUCGACUGCAUGAAGUUGGAAUCGCUAGUAAUCGUGGAUCAGCAUGCCACGGUGAAUACGUUCCCGGGCCUU